rnacentral:rRNA from 1 species
UGACUNGAGUGCAGAAGGGGAGAGUGGAAUUCCAUGUGUAGCGGUGAAAUGCGUAGAUAUAUGGAGGANCACCAGUGGCGAAAGCGGCUCUCUGGUCUGUCACUGACGCUGAGGCUNGAAAGCGUGGGUAGCGAACAGGAUUAGAUACCCUGGUAGUNCACGCCGUAAACGAUGAGUGCUAGGUGUUAGGCCCUUUCCGGGGCUUAGUGCCGGAGCUAACGCAAUAAGCACUCCGCCUGGGGAGUACGACCGCAAGGUUGAAACUCAAAGGAAUUGACGGGGGCUCGCACAAGCGGUGGAGCAUGUGGUUUAAUUCGAAGCAACGCGAAGAACCUUACCAGGUCUUGACAUCCCGAUGCUAUUCUUAGAGAUAGGAAGUUACUUCGGUACAUCGGAGACAGGUGGUGCAUGGUUGUCGUCAGCUCGUGUCGUGAGAUGUUGGGUUAAGUCCCGCAACGAGCGCAACCCUUAUUGUUAGUUGCCAUCAUUAAGUUGGGCACUCUAGCGAGACUGCCGGUAAUAAACCGGAGGAAGGUGGGGAUGACGUCAAAUCAUCAUGCCCCUUAUGACCUGGGCUACACACGUGCUACAAUGGUCAGUACAACGAGUUGCGAGCCGGUGACGGCAAGCUAAUCUCUGAAAGCCGAUCUCAGUUCGGAUUGGAGGCUGCAACUCGCCUCCAUGAAGUCGGAAUCGCUAGUAAUCGCGGAUCAGCACGCCGCGGUGAAUACGUUCCCGGGCCUUGUACACACCGCCCGUCACACCACGAGAGUUUGUAACACCCGAAGUCGGUGAGGUAACCUUUUAGGGGCCAGCCGCCUAAGGUGGGANGGA